AUACGUAGGGUGCGAGCGUUGUCCGGAAUUAUUGGGCGUAAAGAGCUCGUAGGCGGUCUGUCGCGUCUGCUGUGAAAACCUAGGGCUUAACUCUGGGCGUGCAGUGGGUACGGGCAGGCUAGAGUGCAGUAGGGGAGACUGGAAUUCCUGGUGUAGCGGUGAAAUGCGCAGAUAUCAGGAGGAACACCGGUGGCGAAGGCGGGUCUCUGGGCUGUAACUGACGCUGAGGAGCGAAAGCAUGGGGAGCGAACAGGA
rnacentral:rRNA from 1 species